rnacentral:rRNA from 1 species
GAUGAACGCUAGCUACAGGCUUAACACAUGCAAGUCGCGGGGCAGCAUGGGGGUUGCUUGCAAUCCCCGAUGGCGACCGGCGCACGGGUGAGUAACGCGUAUCCAACCUGCCCUUCACCACGGGAUAACCCGGCGAAAGUCGGACUAAUACCGUAUGUUGUCCAUUGACGGCAUCCGAUUUGGACGAAAGGUUUGGCGGUGAAGGAUGGGGAUGCGUCCGAUUAGCUGGACGGCGGGGUGACGGCCCACCGGGGCGACGAUCGGUAGGGGUUCGGAGGGGAGGGUCCCCCACAGGGGAACUGAGACCCGGCCCAGACUCCUACGGGAGGAGGCGGUGAGGAAUAUGGGUCAAGGGGCGAAGGCCGAAACCAGCAAAGGGGGGUGCAGUAUGACGGCCCUAGGGGUUGUAAUCUGUUUUUAUGGGGGGAAAAAGGGCCCCCGGGGUGGGUUUUGGCGGGUACCGCAUGAAAAAGGACCGGCUAAUUCCGUC